rnacentral:rRNA from 1 species
UACGUAGGGUGCAAGCGUUGUCCGGAAUUAUUGGGCGUAAAGAGCUCGUAGGCGGUUUGUCGCGUCUGCUGUGAAAACUCGGGGCUUAACCCCGGGCCUGCAGUGGGUACGGGCAGACUAGAGUGCGGUAGGGGAGACUGGAAUUCCUGGUGUAGCGGUGAAAUGCGCAGAUAUCAGGAGGAACACCGGUGGCGAAGGCGGGUCUCUGGGCCGAUACUGACACUGAGGAGCGAAAGCGUGGGGAGCGAACAGG